CUACUUUUAAAUAAAGUACCCCGUUUGUCAUAUAUUGGCAUUGGCUCACUUUCAUUUGACUCGCCCUCAUAUACUUUGCAGAACUGC
rnacentral:lncRNA from 1 species